GGAGAUUUAGCUCAGUGGUAGAGCGCUUGCCUAGCAAGUGCAAGGCCCUGGGUUCAGUCCCCAGCUCCG
rnacentral:tRNA from 1 species